AUUUAAAUAAUUUAAUUUAAAAUAUUGAUUUGUGGUAUCAAAAAUAUGAGAUUUCAUUUUAAAUU
rnacentral:tRNA from 1 species